UGAGAAUAUAAUCAUAACAUAUAAAAUGAACAUCUGGUCUAAAACAAAAUUAAUUUGAAACUGUGCAAUAUAGUGAAGUCCUAGCGUGCCAAGUCCAGGACUAGACUUAUUGCCAAGCUUUCAUGCAUUUCUAAUCAGUAUUUGGUAAUAGCCUUUGAAUGUGACUGUAAUACUUGAUUAAUAUCUUGGAAGGAAUCUGCCUUUGUGCAGGAUUCUAAUAUUGUUGCCUCAAAAUACUUAUUAAAUAAAGAUUGCCGUGAUCCAAUUACCAUAGGUCUUUAUAGUAUUGUUUACAUGAUUUUUUUUAAGAAUGCCACACAGAAAAUAGUGUGCUGAACUGCAGCAGUAUAUAUUUUUUUAUUUGCUUUUUUUUCUCACAUUAAAUGAACCUACUACCACUUACCUCAACCUCUGGUCCCCUGCCAAUUCUGUAAUACCCACCCCUAGGCCACUUUGUCCUCCUGCUCUCUUCAUUGAUUUGCACUGAUUGGGGACACUUCCUCGAGCAGGACAAACCUCUCUUAACAUGCUGACUACUGUCACACAGUUUUUAUACUUUCCAGCCAGCAUUAGCAGCAUCGGCUAGAGAUUUACCAUAGCAACCAAAAUGCAUGUGCUGUGGUUGCUAUGCACAUGGGAGGUCUUUUCUGCUCUCCUUUAUCAAUCAAUUCCUCGGCAUAGAGUCUUUGCUGAAGGAUUGGCUGACAGGUGGGAGGAAAAAUAAACAAACCAAUGCAUUGAUGACAUUUCAUGAUCUUUAAAAAGAGCUAAAUUAGUUUUGGGGAUGAUACAU